rnacentral:rRNA from 1 species
UACAGAGGGUGCAAGCGUUGUUCGGAAUUAUUGGGCGUAAAGGGCGCGUAGGCGGUGCUGUAAGUCUGUAGUGAAAUCUCUGGGCUCAACUCAGAGUCUGCUAUAGAAACUGCAGUGCUGGAGUGUGGGAGAGGUGAGUGGAAUUCCCGGUGUAGCGGUGAAAUGCGCAGAUAUCGGGAAGAACACCCGUGGCGAAGGCGGCUCUCUGGGACGGUACUGACGCUGAGACGCGAAAGCGUGGGGAGCGAACAGG